AUUUUUCUUUUAUAAUACUCUCCUAAUACAUGCAAGUCGAACGCAUUCUCGUUUUAGAUUGACGGUGCUUGCACCAGAUUGAAAAGACAUUUGAAUGAGUGGCGGACGGGUGAGUAACACGUGGGUAACCUGCCCAAAAGUGGGGGAUAACAUUUGGAAACAAAUGCUAAUACCGCAUAAAAGUUAGAACCGCAUGGUUCUAAUUUGAAAGAUGGUUUCGGCUAUCACUUUUGGAUGGACCCGCGGCGUAUUAGUUAGUUGGUGAGGUAAUGGCUCACCAAGACAAUGAUACGUAGCCGAACUGAGAGGUUGAUCGGCCACAAUGGGACUGAGACACGGCCCAUACUCCUACGGGAGGCAGCAGUAGGGAAUCUUCCACAAUGGGCGCAAGCCUGAUGGAGCAAUACCGCGUGAGUGAAGAAGGGUUUCGGCUCGUAAAACUCUGUUGUUGGAGAAGAACGUAUGUGAUAGUAACUGAUCAUGUAGUGACGGUAUCCAACCAGAAAGCCACGGCUAACUACGUGCCAGCAGCCGCGGUAAUACGUAGGUGGCAAGCGUUAUCCGGAUUUAUUGGGCGUAAAGCGAGCGCAGGCGGUUUUUUAAGUCUGAUGUGAAAGCCCUUGGCUCAACCAAGGAAGUGCAUCGGAAACUGGAGAACUUGAGUGCAGAAGAGGACAGUGGAACUCCAUGUGUAGCGGUGAAAUGCGUAGAUAUAUGGAAGAACACCAGUGGCGAAGGCGGCUGUCUUGUCUGUAACUGACGCUGGAGCUCGAAAGCAUGGGUAGCGAACAGGA
rnacentral:rRNA from 2 species